rnacentral:rRNA from 1 species
UAAAUCAGUUAUCGUUUAUUUGAUAGUACCUUACUACUUGGAUAACCGUGGUAAUUCUAGAGCUAAUACAUGCUAAAAACCUCGACUUCGGAAGGGGUGUAUUUAUUAGAUAAAAAACCAAUGCCCUUCGGGGCUCCUUGGUGAUUCAUAAUAACUUAACGAAUCGCAUGGCCUUGUGCCGGCGAUGGUUCAUUCAAAUUUCUGCCCUAUCAACUUUCGAUGGUAGGAUAGUGGCCUACCAUGGUUUCAACGGGUAACGGGGAAUUAGGGUUCUAUUCCGGAGAGGGAGCCUGAGAAACGGCUACCACAUCCAAGGAAGGCAGCAGGCGCGCAAAUUACCCAAUCCCGACACGGGGAGGUAGUGACAAUAAAUACUGAUACAGGGCUCUUUUGGGUCUUGUAAUUGGAAUGAGUACAAUUUAAAUCCCUUAACGAGGAACAAUUGGAGGGCAAGUCUGGUGCCAGCAGCCGCGGUAAUUCCAGCUCCAAUAGCGUAUAUUAAAGUUGUUGCAGUUAAAAAGCUCGUAGUUGAACCUUGGGCCUGGCUGGCCGGUCCGCCUCACCGCGUGCACUGGUCCGGCCGGGUCUUUCCUUCUGGGGAGCCGCAUGCCCUUCACUGGGUGUGUCGGGGAACCAGGACUUUUACUUUGAAAAAAUUAGAGUGUUCAAAGCAGGCCUAUGCUCGAAUACAUUAGCAUGGAAUAAUAGAAUAGGACGUGUGGUUCUAUUUUGUUGGUUUCUAGGACCGCCGUAAUGAUUAAUAGGGAUAGUCGGGGGCAUCAGUAUUCAAUUGUCAGAGGUGAAAUUCUUGGAUUUAUUGAAGACUAACUACUGCGAAAGCAUUUGCCAAGGAUGUUUUCAUUAAUCAGUGAACGAAAGUUAGGGGAUCGAAGACGAUCAGAUACCGUCGUAGUCUUAACCAUAAACUAUGCCGACUAGGGAUCGGGCGAUGUUAUCUUU